CCGAAUUCGUCGACACAGAGUUUGAUCCUGGCUCAGAAUCAACGCUGGCGGCGUGCCUCAGACAUGCAAGUCGAACGCGAAAUCUCCCUUCGGGGAGAAAGUAGAGUGGCGCACGGGUGAGUAACACGUAGGUAAUUUGCCUUCGGGUGGGGAAUAACUCAGGGAAACUUGAGCUAAUACCGCAUAAUGCAGCGGCUCGACAUCGAGACAGUUGUUAAAGCGGGGGAUCGCAAGACCUCGCGCCUGAAGAGAAGCCUGCGGCAGAUUAGCUAGUUGGUAGGGUAAUGGCCUACCAAGGCGACGAUCUGUAACCGGCCUGAGAGGGCGGUCGGUCACACUGACACUGACAUACGGGUCGGACUCCUACGGGAGGCAGCAGUCGGGAAUUUUGGGCAAUGGGCGAAAGCCUGACCCAGCAACGCCGCGUGAAGGAUGAAAUCCCUCGGGAUGUAAACUUCGCAAGAAUGGGAAGAAUAAGUGGGGGACAAUACCCCCCAUGAUGACGGUACCAUUUGUAAGCUCCGGCUAACUCCGUGCCAGCAGCCGCGGUAAUACGGGGGGAGCAAGCGUUGUUCGGAUUUACUGGGCGUAAAGGGCGCGUAGGCGGUCGUGACAAGUCACUUGUGAAAUCUCCGGGCUUAACUCGGAACGGUCAAGUGAUACUGUCGGACUAGAGUACAGAAAGGGCAACUGGAAUUCUCGGUGUAGCGGUGAAAUGCGUAGAUAUCGAGAGGAACACCUGCGGCGAAGGCGGGUUGCUGGGCUGAUACUGACGCUGAGGCGCGAAAGCCAGGGGAGCGAACGGGAUUAGAUACCCCGGUAGUCCUGGCCUUAAACGAUGAAUGCUUGGUGUCUCGGGUUAUAAAGUCCCGGGGUGCCGUCGCUAACGCUUUUAGCAUUCCGCCUGGGGGAGUACGGUCGCAAGACUGAAACUCAAAGGAAUUGACGGGAACCCGCACAAGCGGGGGGAACAUGGUGGUUUAAUUUCGACCCACCGCGAAAAAACCUUUACUUGGGCUAGAAAUGCCUCCCGACGGGCCUGAAGAAGAUCAGGGGCUUUCUGGGGUAAAAACCGGGACCGGGAAGUGGCAGGGG
rnacentral:rRNA from 1 species